rfam:Ictidomys tridecemlineatus contig047767, whole genome shotgun sequence.
GGGGUUGUAGUUCAGUGGUAGAGCGCUUGCCUUGUAUGUGUGAGGCACUAGGUUCGAUCCUCAGCACCA